rnacentral:rRNA from 1 species
AUGCCGGCUGGCGUCAAGUUUGAUCCCAUGGAUCAGGAGCUAAUCGAGCACCUUGAUGCCAAAGUGAGUGCUGACAGUGCGAGAUUUCAGUCUCUCAUCGAUUUUUUCAUACCAACCAUCGACAGCGAGCACAACAUAUGCUACACCCAACCUGAAAAACUUCCAGGUAUCAAACUGAGUGGCCUACGGAAGCAAUUCUUCCAGCGCAAUUCCAGGGCGUUCAAAAGGGGCACGUGGACGCGUCGCAAGAUACAGUCGGAGUGCGGCAUGAACGCGAUGUGGCACAAGACCGGCAAUACCUUGCCGGUGAUGGUCAACGGCCGACAGACGGGCAGCAAAAAAGGUUCUGGUGCUGCACACCAACAAGAACUUGGACCAGCAGAGGACCAACUGGGUGAUGCACCAGUACCACCUCGGGGACCUGGAGCAAGAGAAGGAGCGGGAACUGGUCCUCAGCAAGAUUUUCUACCAGACGAACACUAG